UAAGCAGGUGAAAAAUAAAAAUAGAGAUCGAGGCAUAAUUCGAACAAUUACUAUUUCUAUAAAUUACAAAGGUUUCAACUGCUCACAUUACCAAAGAAUGAAGAGCAAAAGUAUCCAGAAAAAGAACUAGACAAUUUCAUACAAUUUAACACGAGUCAAUCUUAAAAUACUCAAAUCAAAUUUUCAUAAACAAAAAUAUAAUUAACACAUUACCUGAAUUUCUAAGUCCACGUAUUUCCAUUUCCUAAAGUCGUUGUAUCUUCUAUGAAAUUCAUGUUUUUGAACAUCACACAUCAUCAAAAGUCCUUGAACCGGAACCUUGAACCUCGAUCAAACGGUUUGAGAGAUCACAGAGCGCUCUCGGCGACGAUCGACUUGCGUACAUCGCGUCACCGAUCCUCUGUCUACCGAAUGCACGAUCCUCCCAUCGAUUUGCGUCCCAUGCACUAUCAAUGAUUCGAAUUGUCCCGCAAUUUUACAUCCACACCGUUUCGAUUCGUCCUCGUAUCAGUUGUAUCCGGUAUAUACUUGAAUUGAGAGGUUAGAAACGGAUUAGAAUCUAUCGAUCGAUUUAUGAGAAGAUGAUCGAUCGGAAGGACGAGAAAGGUAAGAGUACCUAUACUUUCCAAGAGAUCCAUGUCCGUUGACCGGCAGCGUGGCACUGAGCUCUUAAGCGCAGGCUCAAUGAAACCAGCAAUCGCCAGGAAUUGCCUCGAAUUGGCCCAAUCAAACUACCCCCAUUCCGUGUGUACACGCGUAUAUUAACUGCUAAUUUCAUCGGCGGUAAUUAGCGCGCGCGAGCGCGCGCCUGUCACGCGCUGAUUUAAUUGCACUCUCGCGGACACUCUUUACUUCCUCCCCUACCAUCCUUACGGUGCAUCUUUUCCGUUGCGCCGCGCGAAACCGAUCGCGCCAUCGUUCCAGCCGCCUGGUCUCCUCGUUUUCGUCAAUGAGUUUGUUUACUCCAGAUCGAUGAAUCUCGUGACUACCUUUGUGAGUAGAUGAAACGACAAGAUUGGACAGAAGAACGGAGAAAAUUUAAUUAAAUAGAAUUCAUGAAUCAAGCAGCAGAAGUUUCAAGAAUCUUCAAUUUCCUCUAUAUCCAGACUGAAUCGACUGGAUCAAACUUCAAUGAAGUUGAAGGUGAUUGAAUGCGGGUGAUCGAGCGUGCGCGCACUCAUGCUUGCAGGAUAUCCGCGGAUGCAGGAGGCGGCUGACCGGGAGGAUGACGGCAAGCGCGCAAGAGCGAGAAGUCGGUAACUUAACUGGCCUAAAUGGGUUUAACUCGAUGUGAUUUUGCUGGCGAACCACUAAAUUGAACGAAUACGAACUAAACUGAACUCAACUAAGCUAAUCAUAUCACAUUACUAGCGUUAUUAGCCGAGAGACGAUAUAAGUGAAGGUCCGGUGGUGCCGGGCUGCAGUAACGGGUCGCCUCCUGCACUGACCCUCU
rnacentral:misc_RNA from 1 species